AAGUCGUAACAAGGUUCCCUUCUGCAGCGCAGCUCCGGAGACCUUGCACCCCGAACGGGAGGCAGCACGACGAUAAACAAAGCUCGCCGCGUGCAAGUUCCCGUAUGGUCAGCAACACGAUCGAAUUGACGGGGACCUCCUAAAGCCUGCAACACCAACCGUCCGGGGAAACUCGGGCGGGGCCCUCACGGGGUGGUAAGAGAGUGCAGGAUGAACAAUGGACGAUCCGCAGCGAAGACCCUACCGGUGAGAGCCCACGGGUACCGUUCACAGACUAAGUGAUUGUGGGCGGGGCAUCAGGCCCCGUCUAAGAUAUAGUCGGUCUUUGUCCGAAAGGGCAGAGCCUAGCGCGUCCGUAGGUGAACCUGCGGAAGGAUCAUUAAAGAAUCGCCCCGUUUUUUGAAAUGGGUUCUAUUCCCAAACCGUGUAUACAUACCUUUGUUGCUUUGGCAGGCCGUCUUUCAGGCGUCGGCUCCGGCUGACUGCGCUUGCCAGAGGACCCAAACUCGUUUGUUUAGUGAUGUCUGGGUACUAUAUAAUAGUUAAAA
rnacentral:ncRNA from 1 species